rnacentral:rRNA from 1 species
AUACGUAGGGGGCGAGCGUUGACCGGAAUGAUUGGGCGUAAAGGGCGCGUAGGCGGCCCGUUAAGUCUGGAGUGAAAGUCCUGUUUUUAAGAUGGGAACUGCUUUGGAUACUGUCGGGCUUGAGUGCUGGAGAGGUAAGUGGAAUUCCCAGUGUAGCGGUGAAAUGCGUAGAGAUUGGGAGGAAUACCAGUGGCGAAGGCGACUUACUGGACUAUAACUGACGCUGAGGCGCGAAAGUGUGGGGAGCAAACAGGAUUAGAUUCCCUGGUAGUCCACACUGUUAACGAUGAACGCUAGGUGUAGUGGGUAUCGGCCCCUUCUGUGCCGCAGUCAACGCAAUAAGCAUUCCGCCUGGGGAGUACGGCCGCAAGGUUGAAACUCAAAGGAAUUGACGGGG